AUAGCACAUGUUGGUGUUUAAUUCAAGAUGAAUCCGACAUCAAAAUCAAGUGAAGAUGAAGCGGUGGGGGCAAAACAAACGAAACUGAAUAUCAAGGAGUUGGACCACCCCCAAAGGAGAUACAUGAUCAUUCUUAGAAGUACAAUUGCACCUAUUGAAAUAUACCUUGUCAGUGAUUCGGCCGAUCUGAGAAGAACAUGAGAAAACUCAAAAAGUCAAAACGAUGGAGAGGAAGCAAUGGCACUUACAUAUUUCUACUAAGUUCGUUGAACCGAUGACGACGAACUCCACUUGUGGAAAUAAUACACUAAUGGCGACAAAAAAAGUCGUCCCUUACUUCCAAGUAUGAUUUCUUUCAUGAGGCAUGUAUUUUGUAUCUCAUGGUUUCCCCUGAUAGAACUGUCACAUGAACAAACCAAGUGUAUCUCCAUGGCCUCAAGUCAUCGGUGACUUUUUCGGUAGUAGCACUCGAUGUUUUUUUUUUUUUGUAAAAAAAAUAUAGCACUCGAUGUUAGGAGUUUAAUUUUAGAAGCCUUGGUUUGUUUGA